UUUUAUUGUUAUUACUACGAAUAUGCGUUUCGCCUUUUACUGAACGCAUCCGUGCUGGGGGACAGUUACAAUGAGCCUAAAUGGCAAUUUUUGUGAGCCCCUGUUAUUAUUACUGAAA
rnacentral:snRNA from 1 species